UACGUAGGGGGCAAGCGUUGUCCGGAUUUACUGGGCGUAAAGGGCGCGUAGGCGGUUUGACAAGUCUGAUGUGAAAUCUAUGGGCUCAACCCAUAGCCUGCAUUAGAAACUGUCGGGCUUGAGUAUGGGAGAGGUGAGUGGAAUUUCCGGUGUAGCGGUGAAAUGCGUAGAUAUCGGAAGGAACACCUGUGGCGAAAGCGGCUCACUGGACCAUAACUGACGCUGAGGCGCGAAAGCUAGGGGAGCAAACAGG
rnacentral:rRNA from 1 species